UUGUGCAAGUUAUGUUCCACGGACAAAAUGUAACGCUGUAAAUUUGUGUGAGUGUGUCAGAGACAGGACCGAAACAUCUCAACAAAAUAAUUCAGAUAGAACAAAGACCGGCUACCUGAGAUUUCACUACUUUCCACUGAAGGUUUCAUCACUUACAACAUUGAUCGAAAUGGUUCAGAUCACAAAGACAAUAGUCUUUCUCUGCAUGCUGAUUGGAUGGUCACAGGCUUUUCCACAACAUGAUGAUGUUGUCAGUGAGAAUGAAGCAAUGAAAGAUGCUGACAUGGUAAAGAGAGAAAGACAAGAUGUUAUACUGAAUGUAACAGAUUUUACUCCACCAGUGUGUCAUGUGGUAAAUGAGAAUUCUGACUGUCUUUUGUCAUGUGGAAAUACAAUCUUGGAAGUGAGGUAUAUUAUGUCAGAUGGCAACGGUUCAGGAAUUGAUCACACCCAAAUUAAUUCUUUUGGUGCGGGUUUUAGCAACAUAACUCAAUAUGAUGGUCUAGAUGAAAAUGGCUACAAUGCAACCCUUUUGCAUUAUUCUGGCAUCUGCUGUCUUGAAGAUUUGGAAGUUGCUGCAGUGGACAAGGCAGGAAACAAGGGGAAGUGUCCUGUAGUUGUCAAACGUGUUACGACCACAGCCAAUCCAAGCCAAUUCAAGACAAUACAUUUUUAGUACAGUUAAAGUACUCACUGUUAAUGACUUGGUGUAUUGAAUGGUACAUGAAAAAUGAUUGCAAGGUUCAUUUAAAGCAAGUGCAUGGUAACAAAAUUCAUUUCUACAGAAAUCUUUUAUUGACCUAAAUAUCCUUGUGAUAAGGAUGUGACAUGUAAAGAUGAUGCAAAUUUCUUGAUAUAAUUAAGAAAAAACACAUUAAAAUAUUUAAGAGCUU